GCUAGGGAUCAUGCCUCCCUCAUUCUGUAUUUUUUUUUUUUUAAAUUUAUAAUAAAGUCAGCAAGCUUUGCCAACUUUAGUCCAAAAUGGAUCUAGGACCGGAUUUUAUUUUAUUUUUUUAACAAGUUUUGAUUAGAAAACUAUCAAGAUAGUGUACCAUCUUGUAUCUUAAAGCCAAAAAAUUUUGCCCUGUUGGCUUCGAUAAAAUGAUGCAAGUAAAUCACUUUAUAU
rnacentral:lncRNA from 1 species